UUAUUAUUCAUCAUAUGACCAUCAUGAUGUACUUUCAGAUCAAUGCUCAGAUUGAUCAAGCCACACUCGGGCCUGGACAUCCAUUUGUGGGAUGCACUUGGUGUGUCAUGUUAAUAGUUGGACCUAAUCAAAAUUUUCAAUGGAGGUGACACUUGCUUGCUGAAGGGAUGCUUGGGGCAAAAUCUAAUUGCUAGAAGUUGUUUGGAGAAAUAAUUGGUUAUGAACCUACCCAUGGAUGCACUA
rnacentral:lncRNA from 1 species